GACGUAGGGCGCGAGCGUUGUCCGGAUUUAUUGGGCGUAAAGAGCUCGUAGGCGGCUUGUUGCGUCGACUGUGAAAACCCGCGGCUUAACUGCGGGCUUGCAGUUGAUACGGGCAGGCUAGAGUUCGGUAGGGGAGACUGGAAUUCCUGGUGUAGCGGUGAAAUGCGCAGACAUCAGGAGGAACACCGGUGGCGAAGGCGGGUCUCUGGGCCGAUACUGACGCUGAGGAGCGAAAGCGUGGGGAGCGAACAGG
rnacentral:rRNA from 1 species